rnacentral:lncRNA from 1 species
UAGAAUUUGAUUUAGGAUUUAGGAAUUUAUUAGGAUUUUAUUUAGGGUUAGUGUUUUGUUACAAUUUGAUUUAGGGUUUAGGGUUUGGAUAGAAUUUGAUUUAGGGUUAGAAUUUUGUUAGGAUUUGAUUUAAGAUUUAGAAUAUAGUUAGGAUUUGAUUUAGGAUUAGGAUUUGGUUAGGAUUUGGGAUUUUAGGAUUAAAGAUUUGGGAUUUAGGAUUUGAUUUAAAGAUUAGAAUUUGAUCAAGGUUUGAUUUAGGGUUUAGGAUUUUAUUUGAGUUUAUUUAGGAUUUAAGAUAUAGUUAAUUUUUGGCC